rnacentral:rRNA from 1 species
CGACUUACUACUUCGGGACUGUGAGACAGGUGCUGCAUGGCUGUCGUCAGCUCGUGUUGUGAAAUGUUGGGUUAAGUCCCGCAACGAGCGCAACCCUUAUCCUUUGUUGCCAGCACGUAAUGGUGGGAACUCAAGGGAGACUGCCGGUGACAAACCGGAGGAAGGUGGGGAUGACGUCAAGUCAUCAUGGCCCUUACGAGUAGGGCUACACACGUGCUACAAUGGCAGAUACAAAGUGAAGCGAACUCGCGAGAGCAAGCGGACCUCAUAAAGUGCGUCGUAA